rnacentral:misc_RNA from 1 species
GGAACUCUCGGAGGAGAGGACCCCCGUUCAGGUGGCAUUCUGAUGUACUGGGUCCCUGCAGAAAAGAAAAAGCCACCAUGGCUUGUGCUUCCCCCCUGAUGCUGAGAUCUGUGGCUGAAAGGAGAUGGAGGACAAGCCUGGGGACUGGAGCAAGCUGGUA